AUCCAGCUGAUGAGUCCCAAAUAACAAGAAACGCGCGUCUUGGAU
rnacentral:hammerhead_ribozyme from 1 species